rnacentral:rRNA from 1 species
UACGUAGGGGGCAAGCGUUGUCCGGAAUCAUUGGGCGUAAAGCGCGUGUAGGCGGUCCGGUAAGUCCGCUGUGAAAGUCCGGGGCUCAACCCUGGGAUGCCGGUCGAUACUGCCGGACUAGAGUUCGGAAGAGGCGAGUGGAAUUCCCGGUGUAGCGGUGAAAUGCGCAGAUAUCGGGAGGAACACCAAUGGCGAAGGCAGCUCGCUGGGACGUUACUGACGCUGAGACGGCGAAAGCGUGGGGAGCAAACAGGG